AUUGGGUUCCGUCCCAGGCUCCCGUUGGGUUUGAUGAGUCCCUUCCCUCCUCAACUGUUUCCAUUUCUCUACGUACCUGCCCUCUGGGGCCACGGGACGCCUCCCGUGGCUCCCACGGGCCUGGGUCCACCUCUCGGUUAUGUGAGUCACUGAGUCCUAUGAACUCUGUACCGGGAGUGAGUCACUUUGCUCCUUAAAGCCUCGGGCUUCUCAUCUGUACGACCGGGAUAAAAGUGGUCUUAGGGCCGAAAACCCGAACACCUUCAGCGCACAGCAUAUAACUGUGUACAGGGAAGAUCUGGGAUUCCAGAGAGGAGCCCUGGGCAGGAGGUGGAGCACAAGUGGAUGCAGGUCUCCCGUUGUACAGAUAACAAAACCGAGUCCCAGGGAGGGGCCGAGAACUUCCAAGCUGUCCUCUGUGUGUGGGAAGCCCUUCUCCAUCUUCUUGCUCAUCCACGGGAGCAUGUGGCCCGCGAAAGCCGGCCAUUUUGGCCCAUGUUCCCGUUGAGUAGAACCGAGUCAUGUGACCCCCAACCUAAUCGCAAGGGUGGCUGGGAAACACGGAAGCGCACACGGAAGUCUGCUGAGCACCAUUGCCUCCGCCAUCCUCCCCUAUUAGAAGGUAAGCUCCCUGAGGGAAGGGACUUGGUCAUCCUUGUCACCACUGUCUCCCAGCAGCUGCCACGUGUUGAACACCUGCGAGGCUUGGAUGCAUGA
rnacentral:lncRNA from 1 species